rnacentral:rRNA from 1 species
CAUAGCCGCGGUAAUACGUAGGGUGCAAGCGUUAAUCGGAAUUACUGGGCGUAAAGCGUGCGCAGGCGGUUAUAUAAGACAGAUGUGAAAUCCCCGGGCUCAACCUGGGAACUGCAUUUGUGACUGUAUAGCUAGAGUACGGCAGAGGGGGAUGGAAUUCCGCGUGUAGCAGUGAAAUGCGUAGAUAUGCGGAGGAACACCGAUGGCGAAGGCAAUCCCCUGGGCCUGUACUGACGCUCAUGCACGAAAGCGUGGGGAGCAAACAGGAUUAGAUACCCCGGUAGUCCCUGUCUCUUAUACA